UACGUAGGGGGCGAGCGUUGUCCGGAGUUACUGGGCGUAAAGCGCGUGUAGGCGGCCCGAUAAGUCCGCUGUGAAAGUCCAGGCUCAACCCUGGGAUGCCGGUGGAUACUGUCGGGCUCGAGUCCGGAAGAGGCGAGUGGAAUUCCUGGUGUAGCGGUGAAAUGCGCAGAUAUCAGGAGGAACACCAAUGGCGAAGGCAGCUCGCUGGGACGUGACUGACGCUGAGACGCGAAAGCGUGGGGAGCAAACAGG
rnacentral:rRNA from 1 species